rnacentral:rRNA from 1 species
AUUGAACGCUGGCGGCAAGCCUAACACAUGCAAGUCGAACGAGUGGCGGACGGGUGAGAAAUGUCUGGGACACUGCCUGAUGGAGGGGGUUAUCAAUUGGCAACGGUAGCUCAUACCGUAUACCAUAGGAUGUGACCAGAUGGGAUUAGCUAGUGGGGGGGGUAAAGGCUCACCUAGGCGACGAGCCCUAGCUGGUCUGAGAGGAUGACCAGCCACACUGGAACUGAGACACGGUCCAGACUCCUACGGGAGGCAGCAGUGGGGAAUAUUGGACAAUGGGCGCAAGCCUGAUGCAGCCAUGCCGCGUGUAUGAAGAAGGCCUUCGGGUUGUAAAGUACUUUCAGCGGGGAGGCGUUACCCGCAGAAGAAGCACCGGCUAACUCCGUGCCAGCCGCCGCGGUAAUAC